GGCAAGUUGCAGAGUCACUUGACCUCAAAAAGAAGAUUUGACAGCAAGUUGAAAGGAAAACUUGUCUUUUAAUUCAUUGGCACAAGCGACAGCUAAAGGAUUGCAGUUGCGUAAAUGAAUGAUCUCUAUCCAAGAGUGGUCAUACGGCCAAUCGAGCUGUUGUAAUUUGUAGCAAUGACUCAUGCUUAGUCUACGAAGGUUCGGGAAGCUUCCACGUUGAGGUCUCCAUCGCACCAAAUCGGUGUCUUGAAUUUGAAGUUCAAUAAGUUUCAAAAAANACAGAUAAAAAAAAUUAACUUAAUUUUAUUGUUGCGUCAAGUUAGGCCGAUUUGAUCAUCGAUAGAGACCACAAUCAGAAUUCCCAUGAUUUGAACUAUAGAACCUCCAAAAUAUUACUCCCUCCGUUCCAAACGAAAUGUCUUGUUUCCUUUUUGGGCUGUUCCAAACGAAAUGUCAUGUUUCAUUUUUUGGCAAUACACACUCUCUCUAUACUUAAUAUUUAGAUAAUUUACAUCAACCCACUUUAUCUACUUUAUACACAUUUCUUAAUCUCCGUAUCGAAAAAAAUAGGAUAUUUCGUUUGGGACGGAGAGAGUACUUUCCAAUACGCCAUCGAUUUGACAUUUACAGAAUUAGGGUAUCGUCAACUAUUCGAAGCGAACUUUUAUGUGUCAGAUUGUGAAAUUAGUUUGAUGAUUUUGAAUUAAGCUCAAGAAAUGGCUAUUCCGAAUAUGGCCUUAGUUUUAGCAAUAAAUGAUCGAAUUGAUUAGGACUGAUGAUAAAAUAGAUGAAAAUUAAUUUUUUGAGUAAUUAUAUAAAAUUAUACCUACCAAUGUAUUUUAAUUUGUCCAUAAUUAUUGAAUUUCAUGCUAAAAACAAUUUUAUAAAUAUAACAUCCUAACUUUAGGUUAUAUCAUGAUUCAAGCGAAGACUUCCAACCUCCCAAUAGGUUGAGUAAGGCAAAAAUGUCAAUAGUGUGAAACUUCUAAUCCUUAUAUUCAAGAUGACUAGGAAAAUAUUCAGGUAUAGUAAACUAAAUAUAUAUAAUCCUAUCCUCCUAUGGAUAAAUAUCAAGACUUCAAUGCCCUAACUUCUAGUAACUAAUAAAUUCUCAUUUUUCUGAUGAGAUCCUUUAUCUCACAUUUUAUUCUAUCUCAUUGUGUCUUAUUAUCAAAUUUAUUAUUUUAUAACUAUUUAUUAUAAAAAUAAAAAUAUUGUUAUAUAAUAAAUUAGAAUUAAUAUUUAUCACUAAAAAUCAUUUUUUAAAAAUAUAUAUAUACUCUUCUUUUCACUACAUAAAAUUCAUCAAAUAUUACAUUAAUUAAAACUUAUGUCAAACUAAAUCAUCAUAGUUUUCAUAAAUCAUAAAUCGGAGGGAGUAAUAUGUACUAAGAAAACAUAAGGGAAUGGGUGGAAUAAAUAAUAGUUUGCAAUUAUGGGAUAUGAGAAAAUUAAUGUUGGAAUGGGCAAAUGGGAUCAAAAGCCAACAGCUCUCAAUACCAGAUCUCGAUGCAAAGCAUGUGGGAAUAGUGAUGGUGUUUCAGACGAUGUCGAUUGUUCUAUAAUUUUUUGUGUCUCGAUAUUAUAUCUGUCUCGUUUUGAACCAAUUUAAUAAAGUCUUAAGAUGCAUUCUUUUUUAUGAAAAAUGAUGAAAUACAUAUAUUUUUCCCCCCCUUUUUCCACACACAUUCUCUUAGUUAAAAUUCCAUAUUAUGUUAAAAUAUCACUUUUCAUAUAACAAGAUAACCGGUGGAAUAUCUAAAGUGCCAUGGAUUUUGAAUGUCUUUUUAAAGAAAUUGAGUUGAAUUUGAUGCCUUUUAAUUUAUAGUGAGGCAGAAUUUAAAUGAUAAAUGAUGGAGUUGGGCCUUGAUUUUGCUUUGGGCCGAAAUUUUGCUUACUAUAUCGAGAAGCCCAAUUGGUCUAUGUUAAUUGAUAGGUAAUGGGUUAGCUGAUAAAUGCUUUAGAAAUUUUAUGAAUGAUAAUUAAUGAAUUAUUUUCUUCUUUGACAACAAGAGCUCUUAAUCAGAUUCUCUUCAUAGCUAAAUCAACAACAUCUCUGCAGUUAUUUAUUUACAAUAGAGAAGAACAAACUUAAUUACCACAAUAAUUUUGUUAAUACAAACUCCCACCAAAUCAUGGCUUUUCAGCAAACAACUUUUAAAUUAAAAAAUCCACAUAGAGACUCACCGGCAGCAGGGGAAGCAACUCUGAAUUGCAAAACGACGACGUACCUUCACUUGUAAAACAUGUUUUCACAUAAAUCCUUGAACAAGGGACUAAUGUUUUCACACUAAUCCAACUUUCAAACAGUUUUGGUUACAAACACAAUCCAGCAUUCAGGUUUUCAUAACCAUCGACAAAAUCCUUCGAUGGGCUCUUUCAUUUGCCUGAAAAUCGAUAGAUGGACAAUCUCAAACACUGUGACUAUAACAGAAACAUUAAGACGUAAUAUUGCAAAGUAGUAACACUAACCUGUUUGGCAAGUCGCAGACUCACUUGACCUCAAAAAGAAGAUUUGACAAGAAGUCGAAAGGAAAACUUGUCUUUUAAUUCAUUGGCACAAGCAACGGCUAAAGGAUUGCACUCGACUAAAUUAAUGAUCUCUAUCCAAGAGUGAUCAUAUGGCCAAUCGAGCUGUUGUAAUUUGUAGCAAUCCCACAUGCUUAGUCUACGAAGCAUCGGGAAGCUUCCACGUUGAGGUCUCCAUCGCACCAAAUCGGUGUCGAAAAUUCGAAGCUCAAUAAGUUUCAAAAAACUCCCUGGUGUUAUGUCCCACUCGGGGCCUCGAAAUGCAUAGUGUUUUAAUAUGAGAAUCUCGAGAUUUGGCAGCAGCGAACCAAUGUCAUUCAUGUAAUUCCAAGGAUAUCCCCCUAACCCAGACAAACGUAACACCUUGAGACUUGAUGGAAACAUUGAAAGAGGAAUCGUAUUACACUCAUACUCUAUCUUGGGAUUCUUAACCCAAUAUUCAAGUUUCUCCAAAUUCUGGAGUUGGGAGAUAUAACCCAAGCAACUCAAUGGGUUUCUUUCAUCAUCAUCAUAAGGCUUCAACUCCACUUGAAUUCCUAAUUCCUUUAAAUUAGGAAUUCUUUUGAGAACUUCCCUUGUACAACUGUUUGCACUCACACCAAGAAGUGAGAUGAGUUUGUUCAAGGUAGCAUCAUCAGUAUUAGGGGUUGGUAGGUCCCUUCCACUUAUCUUAAGACGCUCUAGUUCUUGCAUGUCCCAAAUUUGCACAGGCAUAUAAGACUGAACUCCACGCUUUUUAAUGAACAUAUGUGGCUGGAUAAUCAAGAAUUGAAGGUGAAAAAGGUUGGAUAUGGAAGAAGGGAGCUCCCCGUUGCAUUUUAGGGAAAGGUACCGCAGACAAACAAGUUUAAAAUUUCAAUUGGGAUAUGGUAAAAUCGAACUCUAAGAGCACAUAGUACUCUAAGCAACUUGAAACCCAUGGCAUGUAUUGGGAUUGGAUACGGGUGAUAAGGACCAAGACAAAGGAGAGAACGGGCAGUGGAUGCACAAUCACUUUUUAUCGAAUCAUACACUUGUUUGAAGGCAAAUAAAUUGUUGUAAUGGGCACACAAGCGACGCUGGUCUUUUGUCACAUCAUCACAACCUCGUAAGACAUGUAGAAACUUGAUCCUACUAGCUUCUACCUUACAUAAGUGCUGCCAACAAGAAUGCACGCGAUACCGUCUCUCCAAAUACCAAGAAUUUUCUGUGUCGAGAACAAGAUGAUACGACUUAGAAAGCUUUUCCCAAAAACCUUCAAAACUCUUUUUAACAUCCAGUUCAAGAAAACCCUCAACACUCAACAGAGAAUUGAUAAAGACUGAAUUCUGAUCAGCAUAUGGAGGGAAAGCUCCCAUAUAGAGGAAAAACAUUUUUAAAUGUUGGGGUAAGUAGUCAUAACUUGGGAAAAGUACCUCUGAUAUUUGAUUAUAUGCAUCCUCAAAAAGUGAGUUGUGUUGUUUGCAGGCUACCUCAGUCCAGUAUUCUGGGGUCUUGUCGGCUUUUGAUAGGAGCUCUGCAACCGUGACUGUCAUAAGAGGAAGGCCUUCACAUUUCUUUGCAAUCUUCUCUCCUAGUUCCUCAAGUUGGCGAGGGAAACCGUCUUCACUGAACACCUUCUCACCAAGUAAUUUCUUAUUGUCUUCUUCAUUCAACAAGCUCAGUGUUAUGCCCGUAAGCUGCGGGUGUGUUAUUUGUUGUCUACUUGUAAGCAAGUAUCCAAUCCCUCCACGAAUAUUCCCUUCUUUCAAGCAAUUUAUCAUGCGACGUAUUGCUUGUGUCUCCCAAACAUCAUCCAACACGAUGAGACAUUUCUUACCCUGCAAUUUUUCUUUCAAUAGACCAACUAAUUCCUCACCAUCAUCGUCUCCUUGGGCAAGCAUUCGGUAAGCGUUGGGAUCCACUUGAGCUAGAACGCAGCGUAAUAAUUCAUUGGGUUCGCAUAUUCUACCCACUUUGACCCAUGCUCGAAACUCAAAAUGGCUCCGAAUUGAUGGAUCUUCAAAUAUAUGUUUAGCAAUAGUUGUCUUUCCAAUGCCCGCCAUCCCAAUAAUCGAAUAGUGUUUUUCUUCAAGAAGAUUAUCUCUGGCUCUUUGAAAUACAUAAGAUCUUCCAACCAUCUUUGACUUGAUUCCACCAAAAUCGAUUCUUGAGGAAAUAGGCUCGCCUUCUUCUUCAGCCAUAUUCUCCAUUUCAUUAGUGUACUCCUCCAUCAUCUUCACCAUCUCGACGAAGCAAUCAACAUGGUGUGCAGAUGCAGAUCUACAGAGAAGACAAGUUGCUCUCGCUUUCGAGUUGUGGAAGAAUCUGAGGUAAGAAUGGGAUUCGAGUAAAUCUUCGAAUUCCCAAACUGCCUCUUUUAUGAGUUCAUCCAAAGCAUUCACCUCUGUCCUGAUCUUGCUGCAGCUGGUCUCAUCCAAUUCGAGUAGAACUUUCUGCAAUCGAUCCAUCUGGUCGUAGGCAGGUUGUAAGAUUUGUGGAGAGUGGGAAACGUGAGAAAUGCGAGACGAUUGUAGAAUAUGCUGAAUCGUAUUCUUGAGAGAAGCCGCCGCACCAAAAGCCGCCAUACCCAAAUUAUCAGCUGAGAUACGAUAUAUUGUUGAAAUGAAAUUGCUUAGGUCUGCAAUUUUCCUCCAAAAUGAAGCUUAAACUAAACUGCAAUUAACCCAGAAUAAAAUUCAGUCGCCUAAGAAAGAAACGAAGAAGAAGAAGAAGGAAUUAUAAUAAGCAAACGCAGACGAAACAAAUGAUAGAUCUCAGUUCUCUGCUUACCUCUCGAAGGCGGCGGCAGCUGGUUUUGAUACAAUUUCAGAAACAUUCAAAACCACAUUCAAGAAUUUUAGUAAAUGAUUUGAAAAGAUGUGUAUAAUGUAAUGGUAAAAUCGAUCUAUUGAUGAUUUUGAAUGCAAUUGUGUGGAAGAAUUGUAGCAAGAAACAAAGCAACCGAAGAUUGUAAUUAUUAAGAAUGAGCAAUCAACCACUUGAAAAUUAUGAAAGAAGUGUGAAAACACAUGGCUUCCACUAGUUUUCGUAAAAGAAAACGCACGCCAAUAAAGCUAAUAAUAAAAUAUCCUAUAUAUAAUUAUAUUGGGUCCUAGCCCAAGCUUAUCAAUUCCAUGUGUGUAUGUAUUUAAUUUUAACAAUAAAAUUUUAAUUAAAAUAAAAAAAUUAACCAUAUAUGAAUUAAAAAAAUUACAAUAAUUUAAAUAAAAUAAAAUAAAAUUACAAUAAAAAAUAUCAAUUCCAUCAUUGUCGUUCGUAAUAUUUUUUUUAAUUACAAUAACAUUACUUUUUUUUAAAAUGUUGGAUUGUAAAGAUGAUACUCCCUCCGUCCACAAUUUAAAGCCCUACUUGCUCUUAAAUUUUUGUCCACAAUUUAAAGCCCUAUUAUGACUUUUGUACUUUUUUACUCCUCUUCUUUUCUUAUAUUUAGUACCAUUUGUCACUAAUGGACUCACCUUAAAACACAUUUAUCAUUUUAAUAUUCUAUAUUUACUACACUUUAUCACUAGUGGACCCACUCACAACACCUUUAUCACUUUAGUCAACUACCUUUAUCAUUUUAGUCAAUACCUUAUAUUUCAUCUGCAUCAUCUUUUUCAGUUUUCUUAGUCUCCGUACCCACACCAAAGUGGGGCUUUAAAUUGUGGACAGAGGGAGUAGUACUUUUUUAGAAUUACAAAAGGUAUCUAAUAUAUAAUUAAAUAAGCAAUUCACAAUUCUACAUCAUACAAAGAUGAAAACAAAAGAGAGUGCCUUAUCGACAAUUAACAUUACUUUUUAUUUAAUGACAACCAAUGGAAACAACUUUUGCACGAACUCAUAAAAAAGUCAACGUAUAAAAUUUCUAUAGGAAAAUUUCUUAUGUAAAAUCACAACAAAAAAUUAAUUUUUUACCGAGGGAAUUAUCCCUUGCUAACUUUUACGUCGGGUCAAGUAUCGGCUGAGUAUUAAUUUUACCGAGGGAAAAUCACUCGGUAAUUUUUCUAAAUUCACCGAGGAACAUUUUCCUCGGUAAUUUUCGGACACUUUUUAUUAAAAUAUCGAGGGAGAUUUCCCUCGGUAAUCCCUCGGUAAUUUUUUAUUUUUUAUUAAUAUUUAAUUUUUAUUUUUGACGUACCUAGUGACGACAAUCUUUUUAUCAAUAAAUCCAACCACAAUAACAUCUUUUCAUAAUCUAAACAUAAUUUUAAAUUUUUAAUUUCAUUCAACAUUGUUCAAUGUCCAACAAUAUGUCCAUAUGUAAAUAUUAUAAUAAUGUAUCAAAAGUUACGAAAUAAACUACAUCAAAGCUAAAUAUCAUAAUAAUGUAUCAAAAAGGUACUAAAUAAACUACAUCAAGGCUAAGGAUUGUCUUCUGGUAAGUCUGAACCUCCUGGGCCACUAUUCCUCGACUGCUGCCUGCUGGGACCUCAUGAACUGCUGAAACAUCUCAUUAGUUACUCGAAGUGAUUCCUCCAAUCGGAGUUUAUGUUCACGCUCCUCUUGAAGCUGCUGCUGCUCUUCAAAUCGAGCAUCAACGUGCUGUGAAUGGAUAGUCUGUAAUGUAACGCCCACGAGACUCUGUGCAAAGAUACCAGUGCCGAACAUCCUCCGCCCAAGAAAAUGCCAAAGAAAUUUAUCCGUAGAGUGUGAAACAAUUGACCUCGAUAUCAAUAUCAGUGCAAGUUUGCGCAAAUGUUUUUUUUCUCUCUCCUCAAUUAUUGGACUUUUUUGUGGAACGUGAGUUAUCUUCGUUGCUCAUUCCUACUAUAUUCCCUACUAGAAUAACCUCUCUCACACCCACACACUCUCCCUUUGAAUCGGUUUGAGCAAUUGAAACGGUUUGGUUCGGUUUAAAAAUUUAGGGGCGGUUUGGGUUCAGAUUUUUCCACUACGGUUCGUUUUCAACCCAAACUGCCCGAAUGCUCAGCCCCACAAUAAGGCCAUAGUUUGAACUUUCAACUACAAUAACCACUCUCUCUCUCCUCACACACCACACACUCUCUCUCUCCCUUUGAGAAUUGAGAUGGGGGAGGCUGCAGUGGCAUUCUUGCUGGAGCAAGUGAAGGAGGUGGUGAUAGGUUACGCCGAUCUGAUUUUCGGAGCGGAGAAUGAGUUGGAGCAGCUGAAGAGCGACCUGGCUUUACUCAAAGGUUUCCUCAAGCAGAUGGCGGAGAAGAAGAAGAAGGAAGAUCCGUUGAGGAUACUGGAGAGGCAGACGAGGGAUGCGGUGUACGCGGUCGAGGACACCAUAGACAAAUGCUUCACCAACGCCAUCGCCAAGAAAUCCUUCCACCGCUCUGUGGGUUUGAAAAAUGUGAGCCUCGCCAAGGAGGUGAGAUCUAUUAGAGAAGACAAAGUCAAACCAUUGCUUGACAAGUUUGCUACAUUCGAUUUCAAAUCUGCAGGCGUCCAAGAUUCAUUGACUGUGUCAAAAGGGGUACAUACUCAUUCUCAUCCUAUUUCCAUUUUCUUUUUACUAGCAGAGAUUACGUGCGUUCGCUCGUAAAAAAGAAUUAUUUUAAUGAAUAAAUUUUUAUGAGUGUAAAUUUAUAUUUUAUUUCAUUUUAUAGCAAUAUUUAUCAUUUUGAUGUAUUUUUUGAACCAAUUAUUGAUUAAUAUUUUAAAAGUAUAAUGUUAUUGAACUCAUAAAAUAAAAUUUAUUUAAAUAAACAUCACCUAAUUUUGUCUUCGUAUUUAUUUUAUAGGUUUCAUCUUUACAUCAUUAAUUUUAAUUCCAAAGAUUCUAGCAAAAUUAAAAUUAUAAUUCUUUGUAUUUAUUAAUUCUAAAUUAUUAAAAUUAUAUAAUAAAAAAUACUAGUAACUUAUAUGAUGAAGAGUCCUAAUGGAUGCUACUACUUAAAUAAUUAUUAAAAUAUAAAGGAUAAACCAUAAUAUAUUUAUAGAUAUAUUAUAUGUGUAAUAUAUUAAAUUACACAAUUGACAUUACAUUAAGUAUAUAUAUGAGGGACAUAAUAGACAAAUCAAAUUUUGUAAAAAAAGGCUCUUUUAUAAUAGGUAUAGAUUAUCAUUUUAAUUCUAAAAUUAAUAUGGAGCAACGAUGAGAAGUUGAGAAUGACUCCCUGUGUCCACAAACAAAAUUGACACAUUAUACACUGCAUAAAUUUUAAUAAAAAUGUAAGUAAAGUUUUUUUUAGUGAUGUAAGACUCAUUUUAAAUGUAAAUAAAAUUGAAUGGAUUCUAUUACUCUCUUCAUCUCAACAAAGUUGAGUCGUAUUUCUUUUCGUGUGGUCCCAACACACUUUCUAUUACUACAUCAUUUUUAGUUUGCUGGCUAUAUAGCCUAUAUUUGAUCUUUGUUUUUUGAAAAUAAAUAGGUUGUACAAACUUUGCUUAUGAAAAAUAUUUUCUAUGCAUGCACAAAGUCUUAUGACGGAGGAUUCAACUUGACAUCAUACACCUUAUCCUCCCUUGUUUAAAUUGGUGUUGGCGGCCAUUCUUACUUUCUGUAACAUUCACACAGGAUACACCAAUCAGACAAAACAGAGUAGUAGGAUUUGACAAGGAAGAAGCUACCAUAAGUGCCUAUCUCAAGGAAAAAACAGAUAAGCUCGAUGUUAUCUCGAUCGUGGGCAUACCUGGACAGGGGAAGACAACAUUGGCAUGGAAGAUUUAUCAGAGCGAUGAAAUCGGUUAUCAUUUCCCCAUUCGUAUCUGGGUUAACAUCUCUCAAGUGUUCAACAGCAGGGAUGUGUUCCUCGAAAUCCUGAAAAGAUUCUUCCCCAGCCAAGACACGUCCAGCCUCAACUUCAACGACUUGGCUCAAACAGUUCGCGCGUGUUUGGAGAAAGAGAAAUUCUUGUUAGUCUUAGACGACGUGUGGAGUGUCGUUGCGUGGGACAAGAUCAAGGAGGUGCUUCCAGUAGACAAUGGGGAGGCUAAAGUCCUCAUCACCACCCGAGAAACAGACGUGGGAGAGAAAUCCAGAGUCUACAAAGCUCCCCACAAUCUGAAGUUCCUAGAUAAUGAUGAAAGUUGGGAGCUCCUCCAAUACGAGGUGUUUGGUUUGGAAGACUGCCCGCCAGAACUGAGCACCGUUGGUUACGUUAUAGCCAAGAAGUGUGAUGGAGUGCCACUGACUAUAGUUGUGAUCGGAGGUAUCCUCUUCGACCAACUCACGAAAUCUCGAUCCACGGCUGCGAGUGAAUGGGAGACGGUGUCUACAAGUGUGAGUGGUGCCCUACAAGAUGACAAAACGCAGCGCAUAACAGAAGCUGUAGAGUUGAGCUACCAAAGGUUGCCAGAUGACUUGAGAGAAUGUUUUGUUUUCUUGGGUGUAUUUCCAGAAGAUUAUGAGAUUCCAGCUAAGAUGCUGUGCGGGCUGUGGAUUUCAGAAGGGUAUGUACUUCCGAGAAACGGGAAAAGCUUGGAGGAAAGCGCUGAAGAUAAUAUGAAUGAUCUCAUUUGCAGGAACUUGUUAAAGGUCGAGAAAACUAAUCACAUGGGCAAAGUUAAAACGUGCCAGGUUCAUGAUAUGAUACGUGCGUUCUGCAUAAAGAUAUCCAAGGACGAGAAUUUAUGUCACGAGAUUAAAACAUCCAAGACAGGCGCACUUGAACCUCCAGUUUCUGAGGUAAAAGACUCUCAUCGUCUUUGUUUCCGCUCCAAUCUCUCAAAGUUCCUGCAGGAAAGCCCGUGUGGUCCACACGUUCGUUCAUUUUUGUGUUUCUACGAGCGGCCUGUGGAGUUGGAGCCACAAUACAUAACAGUUAUACCAGAUGGCUUCAGAAAGCUUAGGAUUCUGGAGUCCAGGUGCAUCAUAUUCAACCAAUUUCCAGCAAAGAUUACCAAACUGAUUCAUCUUAGGUACCUCACCCUAUAUAUUGAAUCUCUGAAAAUUCUUCCAGAACCAAUCACCCAGCUAUGGAACCUACAAUCUCUUGUAGUCGAGACCAAGUCUCGUUCCAUUACAAUGAAAGCAAAUAUGUGGAGAAUGGUGCGGUUGAGGUAUCUCAAGACGAGAGCAGCCAUUGUCCUCGACAAUAAAUGGAAAGGUGAUGCAGGGCAGAACCUUCAUACGUUGAAUAGAUUGGCACCCGAAUGUUGCACGGAGGCCGUCUCCAAAAGGGCUAAAAACCUCAAGGCCUUGGGGAUUUCUGGUAAAGUGGCCAUUGUUUUUGAAAAUAAGUUCCUAGAAAACCUGCAUCAUCUGGAAAAGUUGAAGCUGGUGAAUAGUGUAACUUAUGAACAGACAUCCGAAGAUAAGCUGCACAGCCUUCCCCCACAGAAUCGUUUCCCGCCAUCUCUCAAGAGGCUGACAUUAACUAAUACAUUCCUGGGUUGGCAGCACAUGUCCACGUUGGCAACGAUCAGAAGCCUCGAGGCUCUAAAGUUGAAAGACAACGCAUUCGUUGGGCUCCCGUGGAAUCUUGGUCUUGACAGCUUUCCUAAUCUCCAACUCUUGCUGAUUUUAAACACAAAUCUAGUUCUUUGGGAGGCCUCAACUGACUCCUUUCCUAAGCUCAGGAUUCUUGUGGUUAAGAACUGUGAAAACCUCAAAGAAAUUCCAGAGUGUUUGGGAACACAUCUUGAGAAAUUGGAAAUAGAUCGCGUUCGCUUUUCUGCAGUUCAGUCCGCCAAGAAGAUCGAAGAAGCAAAGAAGGGAAAAUCAAAAGGCAAAUUUGAGUACCAUUCAAUCUCAUCGUAGGUCCUGCAUGUGAUACCAAGUGAUCGAGGCAAGUUUUAUUUUUUGGUAUCAGCAAUUUGAUUCAAUGCAUGUGAUGUGUUUCAAUGCGCAAAACAAGAGUUUCAAUAUUGUUCUUCAAUAUGGAUGUAUUGUUGGUCUUGUGGUUUAUUAGAUGAAAAAUGUUUAAGUAUCUGAUGUAUGCGAUUUAGUUGUCUAGAUUUGAAUUGUUUACCGUGAGUUUUAAUUGAUAUUGCCCAAGUUUGUUGGUAUGUUUUGUGCAAGAAUUGCAUGGCUUGCGAGUAAAGAGUUGUGGAUGCGAGAAGCUGACCAAAGACAUGAAUUUUUGUGAAGUUUUAGCUUGGAUGAUCGUACGCAGUUUAAACUAAAUAUAAAUUUGAUUUGAUUAAUUUUAGCAAAAAAAUUAACCAAAGACCACAUACACACCCCUAAUCUUUUUACGAAUCACACACACUUCCCUCAAAAAAAAAAAGUCUUAGGAUGCAUUCUCUUUGAUAGAAAAUGAUGAAAUACAUAAUAUUUUUCCAUUUUUUUUUCACUAUUUCAACUCGUUCUCUUAGUUAGAAAAUUGCACACCAUGUUAAAAUAUCACUUUUCAUAUAAUAUACAUGUCAAGUUGUUAUUUUUAUUUUUUGUUUAAAGAAGAUUAAUAAUAGUUCUCUAUGGUGGAAUAUCUAAAGUGCCAUGGGUUUUGAAUGUCUUCUAAAGAAAUUGAGUAGAAUUUGAUGCCUUUUAAUAGUGAGGCAUAAUUUAAAAGAUAAAUGAUGGAGUUGGGCCUUAACUUUUUGUAUUGGGCCGAAAUUUUGUUUAUUAUAUGAAGAAGCCCAAUUGAUAGGUAAUGCCGUAAUAGGUUAGCUGAUAAAAAUGCUUUAGAAAUUUUAUGAAUGAUAAUUAAUCAAUUCUUUUCUUUUCUUCUUUGACAACGAGAGCUCUUAAUCAGAUUCACUUCAUAGCUAAAUCAACAACAUUUUUAACCUCACAACUCUUGCAGUUCUUUGACAAUUUUUAACCAAAUCGGUGUCGAAAAUUCGAAGUUCAAUAAGUUUCAAAAAACUCCCUGGUGCUAGUCCCACUCUGGGCCUCAAAAAAACUCCAUCCCCAAAUAACUUCCCAACUUUUAUUUUCGGUCCGAGCCCUAAAAGGUGCCCGAUUUCAUGAAGAGCAUCGAGUUCCAAGUCGAAAGCACCCGCAACCGGCUCGAUGGACCGCCGCUCGUCGGCGUCGUAAUGAAACCUUCCAUUUCUUUGAUGUGAUUAAGCAAUCAACCAAUUUGAUCAAAGUCUUUAUGCGCGUUGAAAAUUAUCACAAGCUGCUUCCAAUUCAACUUUGAUUUUAAUAUUUUUCAACUACCAAAUUAAAUGAAACAGUGUUAAAUUAAAUUGAAUUUGAUGCCUUAUAAUAGUGAUCAGGCAUAAUUCAAAAGAUAAAUGAUGGAGAUGGGCCUUAAUUUUAUAUUGGGCCGAAUUUUUUUUAUUAUAUGAAGAAGCCCAAUUGGUCUAUGUUAAUUGAUAGGUAAUAGGUUAUCUGAUAAAAAUGCUUUAGAUUAGAAAUUUUAUGAAUGGUAAUUAAUGAAUUAUUUUCUUCUUUGACAACAAGAGCAGAGCUCUUAAUCAGAUUCACUUCAUAGCUAAAUCAACAUCUUUAAGUUUUCUGUAGUUUUCAUUCAAACUCACACCAAAUCAUGGAUUUUCUGUAGUUUUCAGCAAUCUUCUCAACCAAACAACUUUUAAAUUUCAACAGGGAUCGCAUCUCAACAAAUGUUCAUAUCGAUAAGUUUCUACUGAGGGGUAUCAUAAAUUUGAAAUAUGAAGCCAGAAAUUAGUUAGUAUAUUGCCAGAAUCUGAAAAUUUUAAGCUAUUAAAAACAACACAUAAACUGAUUACACAAAUAUUUAUGUCCAAUAAAAUUAAGGGUUAAUUGCCGGAAAAACCAUAUACUUUNNNNNNNNNNNNNNNNNNNNNNNNNNNNNNNNNNNNNNNNNNNNNNNNNNNNNNNNNNNNNNNNNNNNNNNNNNNNNNNNNNNNNNNNNNNNNNNNNNNNNNNNNNNNNNNNNNNNNNNNNNNNNNNNNNNNNNNNNNNNNNNNNNNNNNNNNNNNNNNNNNNNNNNNNNNNNNNNNNNNNNNNNNNNNNNNNNNNNNNNNNNNNNNNNNNNNNNNAGAAAAUAAAUAAACUGGAAUUAAAUAAAUAAAUAAACUGAAAAUUCGAAAAUAAAUAAAUAAAUUAAUUAAAAUCUGAAAAAAAAAUCAGAAAAUAAAUAAGCUUAAAAGUUCAAAUAUAAAUAAAUAAACUGAAAAAUCGAAAAUAAAUAACUAAAUUAAAAUCUGAAAUAUUAUUAUUUUUAGAAAAUAAAUAAACUGAAAAUUCUGAAAAUAAAUAAAACGGAAAUUAAUAAAUAAACUGAAAAUUCAGAAAAUAAAUAAAAUGGAAUUAAAUAAAUAAAUAAACUGAAAAUUUGAAAAUAAAUAAAUAAACUGAAAAUUCAGAAAAUAAAUAAAUAAACUGAAAAUUCGAAAAUAAAUAAAUUGGAAAUAAAUAAAUAAAUAAACUGAAAAUUUGAAAAUAAAUAAAAAAUAAAUAAACUGGAAUUAAAUAAAUAAAUAAACUGAAAAUUCGAAAAUAAAUAAAUUUAAUUAAAAUCUGAAAAAUUAUUUUUUUUAGAAAAUAAAUAAACUUAAAGUUCGAAAAUAAAUAAAUAAACUGAAAAUUCAGAAAAUAAAUAAAUAAAUAAAUAAAUAAACUGAAAAUUCGAAAAUAAAUAAAUAAAUAAACUGAAAAUUCAAAAAAUAAAUAAAAUGGAAUUAAAUAAAUAAAUAAACUAAAAAUUCGAAAAUAAAUAAACAGGAAAUAAAUAAACUGAAAAUUUGAAAAUAAAUAAACUGGAAAUAAAUAAAUGAAUAAAUAAACUGGAAUUAAAAUUUUCAGAAGAUAAAUAAAUAAAUAAACUGAAAACUGAAAAAUAAAUAAAUAAACUGAAUAUUUUAAAAUAAAUAAACUGAAAAUUCAGAAAAUAAAUAAACUGGAAAUAAAUAAAUGAAUAAAUAAACUGGAAUUAAAAUUUUCAGAAAAUAAAUAAAUAAAUAAACUGAAAAUUCGAAAAUAAAUAAACUGAAAAUUUAGAAAAUAAAUAAACUGAAAUGAAUAAAUAAACUGAAAAUUGAAAAAUAAAUAAACUGGAAUUAAAAUUUUCAGAAAAUAAAUAAAUAAAUCAACUGAAAACUGGAAAAUAAAUUUUUUAGAAAAUAAAUAAACUGAAAAUUCGAAAAUAAAUAAAUAAAUAUACUGAAAAUUACGAAAAUAAAUAAAUUGGAAAUAAAAUUUUCAGGACAUAAAUAAACUGGAAAUUUAAAAUAUCCUACUCCAUUUAAUUAACAUCAAAAUUGGAUUAAGUAGACAAGUAAUGGUAGAGUGUGGUGGGUCCAAUUGGUAAAGUGUAGUAAUUUAAAAAGUAAGGGAGGGUAUAUAAGUCCAAAAAGCAGAGUAGGUAGUUAAUUGGUGGACAAAAUUUUAGAGGCAAAUGGGUAGUUGAUUGGUGGACGGAGGGAGUAAUAAUUUAAACUAAAACAUAGAUAUUUUAAUAAUUCAAACUAAAACAUAUUUACAUCAAAUUAUAAAUAUGAUAAAAGUAUAUUUCUACUUGCAUUAGAAUUCUAUUUAUUAUCUAAUAAAAGCAAUGAAUUACUAGAUUUUCUAAAAUAAUAGAUUAUCAAAUGAAAUAACAUUAAUUACACGUAUAACGUACGUUCUUUCUGCUAGUAUAUCAAAAAUACACAUAAACAGUUUUCAGACAAAUCCAACUUACAACAAUUUUGGUUACAAACACAAUUCAACACUCAGGUUUCACAAUCCAUAAAUUCAUACAACAAUGUGGUAAUACAACAAAUGAAAUUACGGGAUAACACGACGUCUGAUCCCUUUGAUCGGCUCUCUCGUUUGCCUGAAAAUCGGUAGAUGGACAAUCUCAAACACUGUGAUUAUAAUAGGAUCAUUAAGACGUGAUAAUGCAAGGCAGACCUAUGCAAAUCCUUGUGAUAAUCUAAAUAAUUCAAAAUCGAUCAAACUGCUUGAUAAAAAUAAUGCAAACUCUCAACGUUGAGGGAACAGCCUGUGACUUAAAAUAGAACACAUAUAAUACCACUAGUUAAAGAAACAAUAUUUGUUGUCCAAUGAAAUUAACAUCAAAUCUUGAUUUCUACAACUCGAUCUAAAAUCAAGAGCACUUUAUAUGAGUUAGCAACAUCUACAGAAUGGCUUCUGCAGAGUGGAAGAGAGAAACUCAUUUUACGAGCACGAACACGCUAUCGAUUAACAUUAAAUAUGAGUUUGGAAAGGCAAUGUAAUUAAUAAAUAUUUUUAUAGUAUUUUGAUUCGAAAGUUCGAAAGUUAUUAUCCUAAUUUCCAAAUCAACCUAAGUUAUUGUCCUACAAAAACCCUCUAACUCCGACAACAUGAUAAUACAACAAUUGAAAUUAUGGGAUAACACGGCGUCUAAUAGUUUUGUUUUAUAGAUAUAUUCAAAAUUAAGUGAUUGUAAUUAAGUCAUGAUGGCAAGAGCUAAAGCCUAAAUGAGCUGAAACAAUGAAGAAUGUUACAUGUUUCACUUACUGAUGUAAAUUUACUAGCAAUUAAAACACAAUAGCAUUUCACAAACUUAAGAUAUGUAUUUGAUGUGGAAAAUGCACACACUUAUUUUUCUUAAGGGUAAUUUUAUACAUAGCCCCCAUUUUACUCACUAUAGCAAUCUAAUUUAAAAAAUAAUAAUAUUUUUUACUAUUUUGCCCUUUAACUCUUAAAUUAAUUAUCAACUAACUAACUACUUCAAUUUUGGAUUAAUAUUAAUUAACAAAGUAAAUAUCCAAUAUUUCGUAGUCUUUAAUAAUUUUCUACUUUUUUUCUUCUGAGGGAAAUCCUCUUCUACAUUCGAUAACCCUUAAUCCUUAAUCAAACGAAAAAUAAAAUAAAAACAGAAACAAAAACAAAAAUACAUCCAUCACUCCAUAGCCCCCAUUCGUAUUCGAUCUUCUUCUAAUUUCUAUGUUUUCAACUAAUUAGCAAUCGGCAAAUCCCUUUCGUACAUUUCCUUUUUCACUGAUUUAUCACUUGCUAUUCUUGUCAUACACUUUAACUGUGCAGAUAUCUAUAAAUCUCAUCAAAUAAUAACUUAAUCACCAUAACUCCAAAUUUUUGUGAAAAUAAAUACGUUAAAAAAAUAUAGCCCCACCUCCUUCUGACUAUUCUUAUAUUCUCAUGAAACAAAUUCUGAAAUUUAGUUGGAUUGCCAGAAUAAUCAUCUUUGCAGAAUCAAUUAAACAGAACAAUGCAUUGAAAAAUUUGUUCAUACGCUAUGGCUCCCGUCGAAAUCCCUAGGCCUUCUAAACUCAGCGUAAACUCUACAAUUUGGGGGCUAUGUAUAUAAUUUAUUAUUAGGAAUUUAUUUUGAGAGCUAUAAGGGUAGAUAUGUACAUUUAUAAUUAUUUAAAUAAUUUUUUAAAUUAGAGGCUAUAAAGAGUAAAAUNAAAUUACGGGAUAACACGACGUCUGAUCCCUUUGAUCGGCUCUCUCGUUUGCCUGAAAAUCGGUAGAUGGACAAUCUCAAACACUGUGAUUAUAAUAGGAUCAUUAAGACGUGAUAAUGCAAGGCAGACCUAUGCAAAUCCUUGUGAUAAUCUAAAUAAUUCAAAAUCGAUCAAACUAGUUGAUAAAAAUAAUGCAAACUCUCAACGUUGAGGGAACAACCUGUGCCUUAAAAUAGAACACAUAUAAUACCACUAGUUAAAGAAACAAUAUUUGUUGUCCAAUGAAAUUAACAUCAAAUCUUGAUUUCUACAACUCGAUCUAAAAAUCAAGAGCACUUGAUAUGAGUUAGCAACAUCUACAUGUACAAUGGCUUCUGCAGAGUGGAAGAGAGGAACCUCAUUUUUACGAGCACGAACACGCUAUUGAUUAACAUUAAAUAUGAGUUUGGAAAGGCAAUGUAAUUAAUAAAUAUUUUUUAUAGUAUUUUGAUUCGAAAGUUCGAAAGUUAUUAUCCUAAUUUCCAAAUCAACCUAAGUUAUUGUCCUAAAAAACCCUCUAACUCCGACAACAUGAUAAUACAACAAUUGAAAUUAUGGGAUAACACGGCGUCUAAUAGUUUUGUUUUAUAGAUAUAUUCAAAAUUAAGUGAUUGUAAUUAAGUCAUGAUGGCAAGAGCUAAAGCCUAAAUGAGCUGAAACAAUGAAGAAUGUUACAUGUUUCACUUACUGAUGUAAAUUUACUAGCAAUUAAAACACAAUAGCAUUUCACAAACUUAAGAUAUGUAUUUGAUGUGGAAAAUGCACACACUUAUUUUUCUUAAGGGUAAUUUUAUACAUAGCCCCCAUUUUACUCACUAUAGCAAUCUAAUUUAAAAAAUAAUAAUAUUUUUUACUAUUUUGCCCUUUAACUCUUAAAUUAAUUAUCAACUAACUAACUACUUCAAUUUUGGAGUAAUAUUAAUUAACAAAGUAAAUAUCCAAUAUUUUUCGUAGUCUUUAAUAAUUUUCUACUUUUUUUCUUCUGAGGGAAAUCCUCUUCUACAUUCGAUAACCCUUAAUCCUUAAUCAAACGAAAAACAAAAUAAAAACAGAAACAAAAACAAAAAUACAUCCAUCACUCCAUAGCCCCCAUUCGUAUUCGAUCUUCUUCUAAUUUCUAUGUUUGCAACUAAUUAGCAAUCGGCAAAUCCCUUUCGUACAUUUCCUUUUUCACUGAUUUAUCACUUGCUAUUCUUGUCAUACACUUUAAUUGUGCAGAUAUCUAUAAAUCUCAUCAAAUAAUAACUUAAUCACCGUAACUCCAAAUUUUUGUGAAAAUAAAUACGUUAAAAAAAUAUAGCCCCACCUCCUUCUGACUAUUCUUAUGCUAUUUGGUCACCGCCGUUGUAAGUUAUCUCAAUUUUGCCGGCAUCAAAGUGUGUGCUCGAUCCAAUUGGAUUGUAUUCAUAUAUUCUAAUGAAACAAAUUCUGAAAUUUAGUUGAUUGCCAGAAUAAUCAUCUUUGCAGAAUCAAUUAAUCAGAACAAUGCAUUGCAAAAUUUGUUCAUACGCUAUGGUUCCCGUCGAAAUCCCUAGGCCUUCUAAACUCAGCGUAAACUCUACAAUUUGGGGGCUAUGUAUAUAAUUUAUUAUUAGGAAUUUAUUUUGAGAGCUAUAAGGGUAGAUAUGUACAUUUAUAAUUAUUUUAAAUAAUUUUUUAAAUUAGAGGCUAUAAAGAGUAAAAUGGGGGCUGUGUUUAAAAUUACCCUUUUCUUAAUUGCCUCAGCAUCACAUAUAACAUUUUCUGUUAGUUUUACUCCUAUUACGUACAUAUUUUAUUUUAAGGUUUUUUUUUGUGUAUUAUAUACAUAUUGGGCCCAAGUCGGAAUAGAAGAAAAUUAUGUCAUGGGGAAUUCAGCCCAACUCAAAAUCUGGUUUUUGAUGUUGAAUUGUUGAGCUUAAUUUGAGUAAAUUGCAGUGUUUUAAUUGCUUCUUUGUUAUCAAUUCAAGGAAUAAAAAUGGAUUAUAUAUAGUUAGGCAAAUUUAAAAGAUAAAUGAUGGAGCUGGGCUUAUAUUUUGUAUUGGGCCGAAAAUUUAUUUUUAUAUAGAGAAGCCCAAUUAGUGUAUGUUAAUUCAUAGGUAAUAGGUUAGUUGAUAAAUGCCUUAGAUAUUUUAUUACUGCUUAAGGAAAGGUUUGUUGAUCUAUGUGCGCGGCCUUUAAAUUUCUUUAUUUAUGUGUAAUUUAUCCAAAAAAAAAAAUUUACUUCAUAGCUAAACCAACAACUCCUACGGUUACUAAUAAAAUUAACAUCAAAUCUUGAUUAAUUACUAUAACUACGAUCUAAAUACAAGAGCACUUGAUAUGAGUUAGCAACAUCUACACAAUGGCUUCGGCAGAGUGGAAGAGAGGAACCUCAUCUUACGUACGAGCACGAACACGCUAUCGAACCUCAGUUGGCUAGAAUCCGUUACUCCAACGAGUCUUAUCUGCGUCUGCUUCUAGUCUGAGAUGACGGUGAGCUUGAGGAAUCUACUCGACUUGACUCAGCUCGAUUCGUUUGCUUCUUUCUGCGUCUCCACGCGAGUUGGAUCCGUCUAGCUGCAAUUCCUCGCCAAUAAGGCGAUUCAUACCUACAAUGCAAAGAAGGCAACGAGUGCAAUAUAUGAUGCUCACAAUGCUAUGCACGAACGUGUUUGCAAGCUAACGAGCCCAAUACUUUCAAGUUAAUCGAUUCAUUUAUAGGUUAUGCAUUAUAAAGAAGUUACCUUAUGGCGCCUUGAACAAGUGAACUCCUUAAGAAUCUUGCGAAGAGAUCUUCAAAAACAGCAGCUCGUAAUACAAAGGCCUCGACGUUUGUUAAACAAGUUACUAGUAAUCUACAUACAGCAGAAACUCACCUGCGGCAGGGGAAGCAACUCUCGAUCGUCUCUUUCAUUUGCCUGAAAAUCGAUAGAUGGACAAUCUCAAACACUGUGACUAUAACAGAAACAUUAAGACGUAAUAUUGCAAAGUAGUAAGACUAACCUGUUAGGCAAGUUGCAGACUCACUUGACCUCAAAAAGAAGAUUCGACGAAAAGGUCAAAGGAAAACUUGUCUUUUAAUUCAUUGGCACAAGCGACAACUAAAGGAUUGCACUCGCGUAAAUGAAUGAUCUCUAUCGAAGAGUGGUCAUACGGCCAAUCGAGCUGUUGUAAUUUGUAGCAAUGUUGCAUGCUUAGUCUACGAAGCUCCGGGAAGCUUCCACGUUGAGGUCUCCAUCGCACCAUAUCGGUGUCUUCAAUUUGAAGUUCAAUAAGUUUCAAAAAACUCCCCGGUGUUAUGUCCCAC
rnacentral:lncRNA from 1 species